ACUCCUACGGGAGGCAGCAGUGGGGAAUAUUGCACAAUGGGCGGAAGCCUGAUGCAGCAACGCCGCGUGCGGGAUGACGGCCUUCGGGUUGUAAAACCGCUUUCGCCUGUGACGAAGCGUGAGUGACGGUAAUGGGUAAAGAAGCACCGGCUAACUACGUGCCAGCAGCCGCGGUAAUACGUAGGGUGCAAGCGUUAAUCGGAAUUACUGGGCGUAAAGCGUGCGCAGGCGGUUUGGCUAAAGACCGAUGUGAAAUCCCCGGGCUCAACCUGGGAACUGCAUUGGUGACUGGCAGGCUAGAGUAUGGCAGAGGGGGUAGAAUUCCACGUGUAGCAGUGAAAUGCGUAGAGAUGUGGAGGAAUACCGAUGGCGAAGGCAGCCCCCUGGGCCAAUACUGACGCUCAUGCACGAAAGCGU
rnacentral:rRNA from 1 species